CGCAUGCACGGCGGUUUGUUAAGUCAGAUGUGAAAGACCCGGGGCGUUAACCUCGGAAUAGCAUUUGUAAACUAGGCAGACUAGAGUACUGUAGAGGGGGGUAGGAAUUUCAGGUGUAGCGGUGAAAUAGCGUAGAGAUCUGAAGGAAUACCGGUGGCGAAGGCGGCCCCCUCGGACAGAUACUGACACUCAGAUGCGAAAGCGUGGGGAGCAAACAGGAUUAGAUACCCUGGUAG
rnacentral:rRNA from 1 species